rnacentral:tRNA from 1 species
GGUCCCAUAGCUCAGCUGGAUAGAGUGCUUGCCUCCGAAGCAAGAGGUCACAGGUUCGAAUCCUGUUGGGACCGCCA